rnacentral:tRNA from 1 species
GGUUGCAUGGUGCAGUGGUCAUUUAAGCAUACCGGCAUUCUUUGGCCGGAGACCCAGGUUCGAUUCCUGGUGCAACCU